AGUGAACGCUGGCGGUAGGCCUAACACAUGCAAGUCGAACGGCAGCACAGUAAGAGCUUGCUCUUACGGGUGGCGAGUGGCGGACGGGUGAGGAAUACAUCGGAAUCUACUUUUUCGUGGGGGAUAACGUAGGGAAACUUACGCUAAUACCGCAUACGACCUACGGGUGAAAGCAGGGGAUCUUCGGACCUUGCGCGAUUGAAUGAGCCGAUGUCGGAUUAGCUAGUUGGCGGGGUAAAGGCCCACCAAGGCGACGAUCCGUAGCUGGUCUGAGAGGGUGAUCAGCCACACUGGAACUGAGACACGGUCCAGACUCCUACGGGAGGCAGCAGUGGGGAAUAUUGGACAAUGGGCGCAAGCCUGAUCCAGCCAUGCCGCGUGGGUGAAGAAGGCCUUCGGGUUGUAAAGCCCUUUUGUUGGGAAAGAAAAGCAGCAGGUUAAUACCCCGCUGUUCUGACGGUACCCAAAGAAUAAGCACCGGCUACUUCGUG
rnacentral:rRNA from 1 species